rnacentral:misc_RNA from 1 species
GAUGAAGAACGUAGCGAAAUGCGAUAAGUAAUGUGAAUUGCAUAAUUCAGUGAAUCAUCGAAUCUUUGAACGCACAUUGCGCCCUCUGGUAUUCCGGGGGGCAUGCCUGUUCGAGCGUCAUUAUAACCACUCAAGCUCUCGCUUGGUAUUGGAGUUCGCGAUCUCGCGGCUCCUAAAAUCAGUGGCGGUGCCUGUCGGCUCUACGCGUAGUAAUACUCCUCGCGAUUGAGUCCGGUAGGUUUACUUGCCAGCAACCCCCAAUUUUUACAGGUUGACCUCGGAUCAGGUAGGGAUACCCGCUGAACUUAAGCAUAUCAAUAAGCGGAGGA